rnacentral:rRNA from 1 species
AGGGAGCUUGCUCCGCUGACGAGUGGCGAACGGGUGAGUAAUAUAUCGGAACGUACCUUUGAGUGGGGGAUAACUAGUCGAAAGAUUAGCUAAUACCGCAUACGAUCUACGGAUGAAAGUGGGGGAUCGCAAGACCUCAUGCUCAUAGAGCGGCCGAUAUCUGAUUAGCUAGUUGGUGAGGUAAAGGCUCACCAAGGCUUCGAUCAGUAGCUGGUCUGAGAGGACGACCAGCCACACUGGGACUGAGACACGGCCCAGACUCCUACGGGAGGCAGCAGUGGGGAAUUUUGGACAAUGGGGGCAACCCUGAUCCAGCAAUGCCGCGUGAGUGAAGAAGGCCUUCGGGUUGUAAAGCUCUUUUGUCAGGGAAGAAACGGGGGUUCCUAAUACGAGCCCCUAAUGACGGUACCUGAAGAAUAAGCACCGGCUAACUACGUGCCAGCAGCCGCGGUAAUACGUAGGGUGCAAGCGUUAAUCGGAAUUACUGGGCGUAAAGCGUGCGCAGGCGGUUAUGUAAGACAGGUGUGAAAUCCCCGGGCUUAACCUGGGAAUGGCAUUUGUGACUGCAUAGCUAGAGUGUGUCAGAGGGGGGUAGAAUUCCACGUGUAGCAGUGAAAUGC